GUGAAGGAGGUGCGGUCGGAGGGUGCCCCGGCUAGGUCACCGUGGCUCUGAUACCACUGUUGGGUAUCUUCGCCUAGCCGGAGGUUCACCGCUUAUUUCCCGACCGUCCUGCCGCCUUCACACGUUGCUCAAGCAACAACAAAACUCUACACUCCGUGCUUCUUCCUUUUCCUUCUUCUUACACCUAAACCUGCAAAAUCAGAGGAAGUGCAAGUAAAAAGGAAAAAGAACAGAAAACAACAGGAAGAAGUAAAGAAAAACAGAGGUGGGAAAAAGGUGUCUCAGGGACACAGGUGGCUCAGAUUUUUCCCACGGUAGGCUCGCUCUUCCGGCAGCGUUAAUGAUCAAGGCUCAGGGAAACAGGGAGAACUAAUCGGCACUCAAGUCUCGCUUUGCACAACCACCAAAAUCCACAGUGUAUCACCAAACAGGAAUCCAACGGUCAGGAAUCCGGCGAUACACGCAAUCAAUCGGAGCGAGGUUCACUCACACAGUCACCAAACAGGAAACCACCAACAGGAAUCCGGCGACACUUCGGGAAGGAAUAGCAGAGCCUUCCGAUCAAAACAGUGUGUAAAACUCCCUAAUGGAAUGUGACACCCAAAUCCAUUUUAAUUUUAAAUGAAAACGCACGCGGAAAAACUAUGAAUAUAAAUAAAUAUUUAACAAGAAAAUAGUGAAAUAAAUUUUUAUUACAAAAUUACUUUACUAAAUGACAUUUUAAGAAAUAAUCAAAAUAUUUGGCUCGCCAUUCGACCUUCCACGCGCCUCCGGCCUUUAAAACCUGAAAAUGUUAAGUAUGGGAUGAGAUACAGGUACACUCAGUGUGGGAAACAUGCAAUAUUGUCCACGUUAAUAAAAUGAGAAUCCAUAUGAUCAAUACAUUCGUAACUGAAAGUCGCACGGUGGCAUACCAAGGACCUUUCCGUCCUGGACCGAUUGAGCCGGCCCCUGGCGACUGGUUGCAACCAUAACUUUAACAUGAAAUCGCAUUGUGGCAUACCAAGGACUGUGAAGUCCUGGACCCAUUGAGCGGGCCCCUAGCGAUAUAUAAUUUAAUGCAACUCACAUAUGGUAAACACAUAAUAUUAAAAUGGACAAAAAUUAACCACAGCAUGUACUGAAAUAAAUCCCACACCUGAAACUUGAACUUGAUAACUUGACUUGAAUAAUUCAAUGAAAAUUCAUGUCCUAGUCGCGCCGCACCUAGUCAGAUAAAUUCAAAUAAUACCAUAAGGGCCUAAUUGUACUUAAAAUACUUGAAAUACUUGAAAUACUUGAAGAUUUAUUUUAUAAGACCUUUAAAAUCAUUGGUCCAAAUAAUAAAUAAUUAAUGAUAUUUUCUUAUAAAAGACUUGGGCUCAAUAAUUAGUUAAAAUUAAGCUCAAAUUCAUAAUCCAAUCCCAAAUCUAAUAUUAAAAACAUCCUUUGAAAAAUAAUGCAAAUGCAAGUCCAUGAAAAUUAAACUCUGGGCCCAAUUACUUAAUAAAAUUAAGUCCCAACUCAAAUAACCUCAGCCCAUUAAAUAAAACCACCUCAGGCCCAAACCUAUUCUUUCAAUCCCUAAUUUAAACUCACACAUUCACACUUCACAAACACACACACAACUCUCACGCCUCUUUCCUCUCACUGCCGCUCUCUCUCUUCUCUCCACCCCUCUCUCUCCCUCUCGGCCUCCUACCACCGCGCCACCGGACGGCCGCCGCCGCCGGAGGCCGGCGGCUCUGCCUCCUUUCUCUUCUCCCUUCUUCCUAUCUCCCUCUCACCCCUCACUUCUCGCCCUCUUCCCUCAUCUCUCUUUCUCCUCCCCUGCCCUUGUCCUCACCGCACCAGCCGCAGCUGCGCCCUUCUUCUCCGGCGACCCCUGCCGCCACCGUUUCCUACCCGGCGUCGCCUUCACCGUCUAUUUUCCUCCUGGCCAACAGCAGCACCACCAUCACCGCCCCUGCGUCGACAGCGGCGCUGCCCAGGCGCCUUCUCCCUCUGUCCCAGCAUAGCAGCGGCCAAGACCACUGCACCACCGUCCCUGUCUCCUCCUGCCAGCCGCCGUGGCGCGCAGCGCCGGCGGCGCUGUUCAAUCGCACCCCCUGUUCCAGGCCACUAAACCUAUUUCCAGUUCCUUCUUCUAUUCCUUUUCUUUGUAAUUAAUAAUAACUGUUCUAUUUUAUUACCCCAUGGAAAUUACAGAAAAAAAUGGAUGUAUGCAUGUUUUGAUUUGAAAACAGAAUUCUGAUGUAAAGUUUGGUUUUGGGCAGAUAUGAAAACAAUGAAGAAAUCAUUGAUGUGUUGGAAUAAAAAUGCAUAACUUUACAAAAUAAUUAAAGUUACCAGUGGAUGAGUGAAGUAAAUCAGUUGCUGCGAAUUGGGGAUGAUUGAAUGGGAUAAUGGAUUGUGUUUUAAAUAGGAGAUGUUAUGCUUGCUGCCCAAGAAUGUCAAAUAAAAUUCGUGGUUGAGCAGUAAUUUUAAAUGUGUGGCUGAGCAAGAAGACACGCCUGAUUGCUAUCUCAAAAUUAGGAAUAAGGCCUGAUUGCUAUCUCAAAAUUAGGAAUAAGCAUGAAUUAAUGCUCUAGUCUAGUAAAAGUGUUAUGGGCUUGUAAUGUAUGAUAAGUAAAUGGGCCGGUAUAAUGUAUAUAACCUUAGCUUAAAAAUUAAAUAAGGCCCAACAUAUAUAAAAUUGCAAAUAAUUUUAUUUAGGCCCAAAUUAAAUUAAAAAUAAUUGAAUAUAACCUUCCAUUUCCAUAGAUAUAAUCUAUAGUUCAAAAUCAUACAUCUAACUAGGGGCGCGACUAGACAAUUUCAUAAACUUGACAUAUAAUGAAAUUUCAAAUGAAUUGAUCAUUUAAAUGAUGCUCAAGAACUGAAAUUUGAAAUAAUUUAAAAUAAAUAAUUUUUACAUAGAUGAUUUGGUUUCGGGCUGUCACA
rnacentral:lncRNA from 1 species